GGGGAUGUGGCUCAGUGGUAGAGCACCUGCCCGGCAUGCAUGCGGUUCUGGGCUCAACCCCCAGCACCA
rnacentral:tRNA from 1 species